rnacentral:lncRNA from 1 species
CUGGCCCAGCCCUCCGCAGGGUGUAACCCUGCUCUGGGGUGAACUUUCAUUCACUGUGGAGCAGGCACGCUGCUCUUCCAUAAAGACUCCACAAACGACUGCAAAAGCCGAAGGCUGGCCACCUUCUAUGCCGAUGUUGUGACUCCAGAAUGCUUGCAAAGGGGAAUCCAGGCACAAUCUUCAGCUGUUGUGCAUCCAAAAACGAUUAUGGAAAUGAUGCUGGAAAUGCAUCUAUGAGCAUCAAUUUACUGUGUCCUGCCUGGCUUCAGGGCCUCAGAUGCAUCCUGAAGAGCAUCCAGGGAAGUCUUAGAGCCAUGGGCUUCUCUGCUAAGAACUGGUGAUGUCACGCAGGCUGGAAGCUGACAAUUUAAGUCAAUUCACUCUCCAAAAUGUUGCACCCCUGCUGCGUGUUAAGCUCAUUAAAGUUGGAGAGUUGAAUGAGCUAAU